GGGCGUAAAGCGUCCGUUAGGCGGCGUUAGUAAGUCAGAUGUGAAAUCUUGAGGCUCAACUUCAAGUUUGUAUCCGAUACUGCUAUGCUAGAGUCUUGGAGAGGUGAGUGGAAUUCUACAUGUAGGGGUAAAAUCCGUAGAUAUGUAGAGGAACACCAAAAGCGAAGGCAGCUCACUGGCCAAGUACUGACGCUGAUGGACGAAAGCGUGGGGAGCAAACGGGAUUAGAUACCCCGGUAGUCCACGCCGUAAACGAUGAUCACUCGAUGUCGGGGGUUCGACCCUCUCGGUGUCUAAGCUAACGCGAUAAGUGAUCCGCCUGUGGAGUACGGCCGCAAGGCUAAAACAUAAAGGAAUAGACGGGGACCCACACAAGCGGUGGAGCGUGUGGUUUAAUUCGAUAAUAAGCGGGGAACCUUACCCAGGCUUGACAUCUUCUGGAUACACCCGAAAGGGGGUAGUGCCGUAAGGAACAGAAUGACAGGUGCUGCAUGGUUGCCGUCAGCUCGUGCCUUGAGGUGUUCGGUUAAGUCCGUAAACGAGCGCAACCCUUGUCCUUAGUUGUAUUUCUCUAGGGAGACUGCCUGGCAUAACCAGGAGGAAGGUAAGGAUGACGUCAAAUCAGCAUGGCCCUUAUGCCUGGGGCGACACACGCGCUACAAUGGCCAGUACAACGGGCAGCCAAGGAGCAAUCCGGAGCGAAUCCCACAAAACUGGUCUAAGUUCGGAUUGAGGGCUGCAACUCGCCCUCAUGAAGUUGGAAUCGCUAGUAAUCGCGUAUCAGCCACGGCGCGAUGAAUAUGUUCCUGGGUCUUGUACUCACCGCCCGUCAAGUCACGAAAGAUGAGGGUGCCCGAAGUUCCUGCUAAGCAGGACCCAAGGUAAAUCAUUAAUUGGGACUAAGUCGUA
rnacentral:rRNA from 1 species